rnacentral:rRNA from 1 species
UUAGCUUUUAUUUUUUUUGUAUGCUAUUUUUUGUUUUUAUUUAAAACAGAUAUAUAUUUGGUUUAUGAAUCAGUUAUCAUGUGUUACUAUUAUUAAUUUUUUUCGGAUUUAAUUUUUAUUUUUUUUUGAAGUUGGAAAAGAAAGUAAUUUUUUUUUUAUGUAUUAAUGAAUUUAAUAAACGGAGUGGUACAAACCAUCCGUCAAU